rnacentral:rRNA from 1 species
UUCAAUUUAAUUUGAAUUUAAUUAAUUAUUAAAUUUAUUUAAAAAAAAGAAUUUUUUAAUUAGUAUUAUUAAGAAUAUUUAAUUUUAAUUAUAGUAUAAUAGUAUAGUGAUAGAAUUUAUUUAAAUUAAAAUAAGAAGAAUUAAUUUUUUGUACCUUGUGUAUCAGGGAUUAUUAAUUUAAAGUUUUUAAUUAAAUUUUCUCGAAUUUAAAAGAGCAAAAAUUAUAUGUAUAUUAUUGUAAAAUAAAUACUUAAAAUAUAAUUUUUGUAAUGAAACGUUAUUCGUUUUUAAAUAUAUCUAGUUUUUAAAGAAAUAAGUUUAAUUUAUAAUUGUUAAUUUAAAUUUUUUAAUUUUAAAAUUUAUUUAAUUAAUAAUUUAAUAUUUUUAGGGAUUAGCUUAAAAAUAAAGUAUUAAAAAUAUAUAAAAAUAAAGAUAUAUGUAGGAAUAGAAAUUUUUAUUAUUUAGUUUGUUAUAAUUAAUAUUUUUUUUAUUAAGAUUUUUAUAAUAGUUUUAAUUUUUUUAUUUAAAUGUAUUAUUGAUUAUUUAAAUAAUUGAAAUAAUGAUAGUAUUAGUAUAAAUUAAUGUAAUUUUAAUUUAAAUUAUAGGUUAAUUUAAGGAAUUCGGCAAAAAUUAUUUUCGCCUGUUUAAUAAAAACAUGUCUUUUUGAAUAUAAUAUAAAGUCUAACCUGCCCACUGAUUUUUUAAAUGGCCGCAGUAUUUUGACUGUGCAAAGGUAGCAUAAUAAUUAGUUUUUUAAUUGAAAGCUGGAAUGAAUGGUUGAACGAGAAAUAAUCUGUCUCAAAUUAAUUUUUAUUAGAAUUUUAUUUUUAAGUUAAAAAGCUUAAAUUUUAUUUAAAGACGAGAAGACCCUAUAGAGUUUAAUAAAUUUUUUUAUUUGUAUUUUUUAGGAAUUUUAAGUUUAAAUAAAAAAAUUUAUUUUAUUGGGGUGAUAGAAAAAUUUAAUAAACUUUUUUUAAAUUAGUACAUUAAUUUAUGAUUUAUUGAUCCAAAUAUUUUGAUUAUAAGAUUAAAUUACCUUAGGGAUAACAGCGUAAUUUCAUUAGAGAGUUCAUAUCGAAAAUGAAGUUUGCGACCUCGAUGUUGGAUUAAAAUUUAUUUUUGGUGUAGCAGCUAAAAAAUUAAGUCUGUUCGACUUUUAAAAUUUUACAUGAUCUGAGUUUAAACCGGCGUGAGCCAGGUUGGUUUCUAUCUUAAAUUAAUAAUAAUAUUUUAGUACGAAAGGACCAAAUAUUAAUAAAAUUUAUUAUAAUAUGAAUAUAAUUAUUAC